UACGUAGGGUGCAAGCGUUGUCCGGAAUUAUUGGGCGUAAAGAGCUCGUAGGCGGUCUGUCGCGUCGGCUGUGAAAACUCGGGGCUCAACCCCGAGCCUGCAGUCGAUACGGGCAGACUAGAGUGCUGUAGGGGAGACUGGAAUUCCUGGUGUAGCGGUGAAAUGCGCAGAUAUCAGGAGGAACACCGGUGGCGAAGGCGGGUCUCUGGGCAGUAACUGACACUGAUGCGCGACAGCGUGGGGAGCAAACAGG
rnacentral:rRNA from 1 species